UAGAGUUUGAUCAUGGCUCAGAUUGAACGCUGGCGGCAGGCCUAACACAUGCAAGUCGAGCGGUAGCACANGAGAGCUUGCUCUCUGGGUGACGAGCGGCGGACGGGUGAGUAAUGUCUGGGAAACUGCCUGAUGGAGGGGGAUAACUACUGGAAACGGUAGCUAAUACCGCAUAACGUCUUCGGACCAAAGUGGGGGACCUUCGGGCCUCACGCCAUCAGAUGUGCCCAGAUGGGAUUAGCUAGUAGGUGGGGUAAUGGCUCACCUAGGCGACGAUCCCUAGCUGGUCUGAGAGGAUGACCAGCCACACUGGAACUGAGACACGGUCCAGACUCCUACGGGAGGCAGCAGUGGGGAAUAUUGCACAAUGGGCGCAAGCCUGAUGCAGCCAUGCCGCGUGUGUGAAGAAGGCCUUCGGGUUGUAAAGCACUUUCAGCGAGGAGGAAGGGUUCAGUGUUAAUAGCACUG
rnacentral:rRNA from 1 species